AGAAGCUGCUGCAGAGGAAACUAGAGUAGGAGUCAGGCUCAGCACUGAUUUCUCCAGCAAGGAGACCUACACAAUGAGGUGUCUAAUUCCACUGUGUGUGUUGAUAUUACAAGCAUUGGGCCAAAGUAGGAGCCAAUCAACAGGUAACAAAAUUUUA